rnacentral:rRNA from 1 species
AUGCUUGGGAAGUCCUCUGAUGCGUAUGUGUCUACGCCGGAGGGGCUAGCUACGUUGCAAGGCCCGUGGUUUCUUGGCCGCCUAAAUCUUUGGACAUGGAAAAGCCGUGUUUUGAAAAAACAGUUGGUAAAGAUAUGCAAAGUAUUCAGCCGGCCAGAUGGUGCAUGGGGAGAUCAUUUCCGAAAGGUGCUUGCGAUCCAGAGCAAACAUCGGCGUCUCAAUCAGUGUGUGGACAAACCCAAGUGGACGGCAAGAAGAAGUGCAAUCAUGUUGCUUAAUGGACGGGGUGAUGGUUGGCCUGCUGGAGUGCUGGGUAUCUGUUUUCUGUUCCAUCCUCUUGACCUGAAGCAUGAACUUCCUUGUCAGUUAUCACGCGUACGAGCUUCGGAUGGUGGAUACAUUUGCUGUUGUUUUCCAUUCUCCUGGCUCCACUGGCGCACUAUUAUUUUGUGGACCAUGGACUGUGGUUUUCAUCUGAAGUUGGAAGCGGUUCAAAGAAGACUGGGUACCGUGUGA